CAAAAAAAAAAAAAAAAAAACUAAAUGAUGAGAGGAUUUUGUUCCUCUUUAUCGGAAGUCACAGAACAACUAUUUACAUUACCGACAUUGAUAGACACCAUAUAUAGCAGUCAACUUCACCAGAGUUAACGGAAUUCAAAUUUCUCAUUUAAUAACCCAUUCCCUUCAAAGAAAUCUUGCUAUAUCCAUCUUGGGCACCAUUUGGCUUCCUUAAGCAUCAUUUGGCAAAGCAGGAAAGUCCCAGUUGCGGACUAUAAUAGUCACAUUCCUCCCCUGAAUCUCCUUCAUGCUUCCUUCAAUCUGCAAUGCAAAAUCUCUCGGCAUAUUUGUGAGGGUUAAUUCCUUCAACAUCUUUAGCUGAUUCAAACCACUAGUUUCCUUCAGUUUUUCACAGCGUCUAAUCUCUAAUUCUCUUAGUUGAGGAAAGGAACCUUCUUCCAAAGUCCACUUCUCCAAUUCCACAAGCAUCCACAGUUUUAAGACUCGGAGUUUCGGAAACCCUUCAGCGUGACAAGUCAUCUCCUUCCCUAGAUAGGAGCGAGCAAAAAGUCGGAGGAUGUUCAGCUCACGCAAUUGCCCUAGGUAUUUCAUCGGAUCCUUAUCCAGCUGUGACACUGAUAAAGUAAGCAUCUUGAGAUUUUGUGGAAACUCAAUAUUAUCAAUUGCCAUUGAUAACUUUCCAAGCAAAUUCAACUCCCAAAGAUUUUUAUGCUCACGCAUGCUCCAUAACGUGAGGUCUGAAGGUCGACGAAAUUCAUCUAUUGACCUCAAUUUCAAGGACCUAAGAUUUGUGCAUUUAGAAAUCCAGGUAGUUAUCAGCACAAGUGAUUCGAAAUGGCAUGUGAGUCCAAGUUUUGUGAGACCAAUCAGCCUAAUCAACCAAUCUUCCCCUGGGCUCCUUUUCCCAAUUAUUAACCCCCACAUAGUCAGAAGGUUCCCCAAUGAUCCACCAGCCAAUGGCUUUUGAAGGGACACAUCCAAAUAAAUCUCGUUCAUGUAAAGAUGGCGAAGCUUCUUGGAGUUCCAGAUGGAAAUGGGCAAGACUGUUAUAUUAGUGUGCUUCACAUCCAAAGUUUCUAAGUUAGGCAAAUCACCUACCGAAUUUGGGAUUGAAUCUAGAAAAGUCCAUCGCAAGCCCAGGUAACUUAGGUGUAGCAGUUUUCCUAUAGCCUCAGUUAACACUGGUUUGUAGACCUUUUCUAGAUCAAGUACAGUGAUCAAUCCAAAGCCUCUUUUUGCCAUGAUCUUGUUAAGAAACUUUUCUACUUCAACUGCCGGUGUAUCUCCCUUUCUGGUGUUGAAAGAUAUAUAAGAACGCAAAUUAUCAAUGUAAGGAUCUAGAGAGUUGCUAAUGUCACCAUAUGUAGCAAUCCUCCUCAUACUAUGUGUAGGUAUGCAUAUUGGGUCACGAAGGACAUGACAAAAUCCAAUGCCUGUGGCGUUUGGAAAGAUAUUAUCAUAUAGGAUACCUGGCACUCGACAUGUUUUGGGGCUUCCAUCUAAUCUCCAUCUUGCAACUUCUACCAUGUUUCUUUUGAUUAAUUGUUGCAAAUAUCUCUCAACCAAAACUUCAGGGGUUUCAUCUUUUGAUGAUGGAUUUGCCAAUCCUUCAGCAGCCCACAACCGAAACAACCUCCGCACAGGGAUCGAAUAUUCUUUGGGGAAAAGACUUAAAUAUAGAAGACAUGGCUUUAAGUCUGAUGAAAGAUCCUCAUAAGCCAAAGCCAAGAUAGCUUUGGAAGGGUCAUCACCAAAACUCACACGCCCAAUCACUCUUGACCAGCUGUUUGGAUCUUUGGUGGAUAAGAGACCUCCUAGUACAACAAUGGCAAGAGGCAAACCCUUGCAUUUUUCCCAAAUUUGCUGCUUCAAAGACAAAUCAUUGAAGUCUUUUCUUUGUACUUUCUUCAAGAAUAAUGCCCAGCUUUCGUCAACGUUUAAAUUGGGUAGCUUAAUUGGAGGGAACUCCAGACCAGUAAGCUCUUCUGCCAUUUUUCCAUCGCGAGUAAUCAGAAUCAGCCUGCUGCCAUUUAAUGAGUUUGGAAAGAUAUUCUUAAGGAUGUCCCACACAAGAGAAGUCUUGACAUCAUCCAAAACUAUUAGGAACCUCUUGCGAAUAAAGAAAUCACGAACCUUUUCUUGCAAUUUAUCAAGAGGCAGCCUUUCCUCCUCCUUGAUUGUGGUAACUUGUUUCAAUAUAUCAAUCAAGAGAUUUCUUUUUUUGGUCUCAACUUCAGCAUCAGAAGAGAGAACUGUUUCUGGAAACUCUUCAGAAACAUUAAUCCAAACACGUAAUUGAAAAUGCUGCACAAUGUUCCCUUUGUUAUAAAUAUUCCUUAUAAAGGUUGUCUUGCCAGAGCCAGCAGCACCUGCCACUGCAAUAAGAAAACGCAAUUUAUGGCUCUUAAAUAAUGCUUGAGCUAACUCAUCUGCUUUAUCCUUUCGACCAAUGAAGUCUAGUUCGUCAUCAUCCAAAUGACCUGAAAAUGAUGUCAAGUUCUGGGAUGCUUCUUUUUCUUCUGACUUGGUUGAGUCUGUGGCUUGAGCUCCAAGUUUGCCUUCUGCGACUUUCAACUCAGUAGCAUGUGCAUGUUGUUGUUCAGCUGAUAACCUUUCUUCGAGAGCACGUGUAGAUUGUUCACCUGAAAUUCUUGGUUUAGCUUUUGAAUUGCUUGGUUCAGGAGCAUUCACAAAUUGUUCAUUUGAAACACUGGGUUUAGCUUCUGAACUGCUUGUCUUAGGAGCAUGCACAGAUCGUUCAUUUGAAAGACCUUGUUUAGUUUCUAAACUGCUUCUUUCAGGAGCAUUCACAGAUUGCUCAUUUGAAACACCUGGUUUUGCUUCUGAACUACUUGGUUCAGGAGCAUGCUCAUAUUCUUCAAUUGAAACGCCUGGUUUAGCUUCUGAGCUGCUUGUCCUAGGGGCAAGCACGGAUUGCCCAUUUGAAGCACCUGGUUUAACUUCUGAACUGCUCAGCCCAGGAGCACGCACAGAUUGUUCAUCCAAGACAUCUGGUUUAGCUUCUGAACUGCUUGCCUUAGAGGCAAACACAGACUGUCCAUUUGAAGCACCUGAUUUAACUUCUGAACUGCUUGGCUCAGGGCCAUGCGCAAAUUGUUCAUCCGAAA
rnacentral:misc_RNA from 1 species